AUGAGAAAGAUGUACCGAUUUACAAAAUCUUAUCUUCUCCAAUUCUGCAGAACAUAUUGUAGUUGUGUUUCCGUAUAUAAAAGGAAACCACGGAAAGCACACACAACGGUACAUUAUCAAUUUACAAAAUCUUAUCUUCUCCAGUUACUCGAAACAUCUUGUAGUUGUGUUUUCGUAGAUAAAAGAAAACCACGGAAACCACGCAUGUUGGUACAUUUCAGACUCAGAAAAAUGUUAGGACAUAGUAUUGUGAACAACUUGAUUGUAAAUAUAUGCAGUACUUUAAUAGCAUUUAUAGAAAUUGUCUUUCUCACACAAUUGUCUUUCAUUCCUCCUUUUUUUUUUUGUGAUAUCAUUCUGUUAGAAAUUUAG